AACAUGAAAGUAUUUUCAGGCUAGUAGAAAAAUUGAAAAUUAUUAACAGAUUUGGGAUGAAGUAGCCAGAAGUCUCAAAAUCCUUAUUUUUCUGAACGACCUAUGAUGUGUUUAUUAACUUUUUCUUUUAUCUUUGGGUGUUCUAGAGGGGUGUUUGAUGCUUCCCUCAAAAUGGCUGGCUUCUAUGGAUUGUAUACCUGGCUGACUCAUACUAUAUUUGGCAUCAAUAUUGUCUUCAUACCAUCAGCUUUAGCAGCCAUCCUUGGAGCAGUGCCCUUCCUGGGGACGUACUGGGCAGCGGUCCCUGCAGUUCUAGACUUGUGGCUGACGCAGGGAUUAGGAUGCAAGGCCAUUCUGCUGUUGGUUUUUCAUCUCUUGCCAACUUACUUUGUAGAUACUGCCAUCUAUUCUGACAUAUCAGGGUAAGUAUUCUGAAGUUAAUGGUGAAUCAUGCAGGGAGUUAUAUUGUUUAUUGAAGGAGGUUGUUUUGGGGGCCAGGGAGUGGGAUAGAACAGUUUGGGAGAAGGAACUGGUGGCAGGAUUUUUCAGUAAAGUAACUUUCUAUGUUCCCUCUGAUAUAAUGAAAUUUUAAUUUAAAAUAACAUUGUUU
rnacentral:lncRNA from 1 species